GCCCUACCGAGUAUGGUGGUUAUGACACUCGGCUUGUAAUCGAGUGGGUUCGAAUCCGGUGUAGGGCA